rnacentral:rRNA from 1 species
UAGGGAAUCUUCCGCAAUGGGCGAAAGCCUGACGGAGCAACGCCGCGUGAGUGAUGAAGGUCUUCGGAUCGUAAAACUCUGUUAUUAGGGAAGAACAAAUGUGUAAGUAACUAUGCACGUCUUGACGGUACCUAAUCAGAAAGCCACGGCUAACUACGUGCCAGCAGCCGCGGUAAUAGGUAGGUGGCAAGCGUUAUCCGGUAUUAUUGGGCGUAAAGCGCGCGUAGGCGGUUUUUUAAGUCUGAUGUGAAAGCCCACGGCUCAACCGUGGAGGGUCAUUGGAAACUGGAAAACUUGAGUGCAGAAGAGGAAAGUGGAAUUCCAUGUGUAGCGGUGAAAUGCGCAGAGAUAUGGAGGAACACCAGUGGCGAAGGCGACUUUCUGGUCUGUAACUGACGCUGAUGUGCGAAAGCGUGGGGAUCAAACAGG